rfam:Zootermopsis nevadensis contig19419, whole genome shotgun sequence.
GCCACGGUGGUCUAGCGGUUAGAAGACUGGCCUUGUAAUCCUGGGGUCUCGGGUUCGAUUCCCGGCGGUGCCC